AGUGAACGCUGGCGGUAGGCCUAACACAUGCAAGUCGAACGGCAGCACAGUAAGAGCUUGCUCUUACGGGUUGCGAGUGGCGGACGGGUGAGGAAUACAUCGGAAUCUACUUUUUCGUGGGGGAUAACGUAGGGAAACUUACGCUAAUACCGCAUACGACCUACGGUUGAAAGCAGGGGAUCUUCGGACCUUUCGCGAUUGAAUGAGCCGAUGUCGGAUUAGCUAGUGGGCGGGGUAAAGGCCCACCAAGGCGCCGAUCCGUAGCUGGUCUGAGAGGAUGAUAAGCGACACUGGAACUGAGACACGGUCCAGAGUCCUACGGGAGGGAGCAGUGGGGAAUAUUGGACAAUGGGCGCAAGCCUGAUCCAGCCAGACCGCGUGGGUGAAGAAGGCCUUCGGGUUGUAAAGCCCUUUUGUUGGGAAAGAAAAGCAGUAGGUUAAUACCCCGCUGUUCUGACGGUACCCAAAGAAUAAGCACCGGCUAACUUCGUG
rnacentral:rRNA from 1 species